CGCUGGGAGAAGGUUACCAAUCUAUUAACCUGCUUAAUAAUAUGCAAUUAAUUUUUAUAUAAAAUCUAAUAACUGUAUUUUAGAGCUCAAGUUUUUACAGCAUUUUAUAUUCUAUAUUUUUAAAAUAAUAAACAUUGGUGGGGAUAUUGGAUGUGGAUAUUUAAGCAACAGUUAAUUUUUAAUAAAAAUAAAUAUUGGUUUUACAAGGAGAGGGCACGACCUGGGAAAUUCACGUCAAACGAGACUUGGUAAACCUUGUUGCUCAGCGGCUGCCGAUGAAGUGAUACUUAUUAGUACAUAAGCUGAGCUCGAAUGUUUGAAGGCUUUUUUCUCAAAAUUGGCUGGCCAUUGCACUUUCUUGCUUUGAGAGUUGAACACCCUAAAGGGUUGUAUCAAGUCUCGUCCUGAAGUGAAUUUUCCAAGUUGUGUCCUCCCCUUGUUAGCUCCCAGGCAGAAAUUAAUGUAGUAAAUAUUUCGUAAAUUUAUAUGCUGUAAACACUCGAGUGCCCAGUCACAGGAAAUAUUCUGAUGUGAUUCGCUUCAAGCAACUAGUACUUCAAAUUAAAACUCAGCAUUAAGCAGUGGGAAAAUGUGGUCCGGUGUAGAACAUUUACCAACCCAGUCUUCACCUCUUCGAGCCGGCUGGGGGCGGCAGGCGUUUCCCUCAGCACGGCAAGCGGCUGGGUGCUUCACCAUCCUUCUCUUGCGGAUGUUGACCUUGCCCACACGUGGGUUGCUUUUAAGUGAAGCAACAACACUCUUACUAGUUUUCAGGAAUUCGAACUACCUAAAUUCAAAGAGAUACCACUAACAAAGGAAGAAUGGAUUGACAUCAGUUUAUUUUGUAUAUUUCAUAUACCAUUUGUAUGAAUAAAAUAAACAUUAAUCACCACUUACAACAUUUUUAUGGAGACUUAUGAUACUCUGUAGUAGCAUGUUUAUUGACUAAAAUAAUUUUUUAAAAAGUCUUAGUUUACAUUUGUUGACUACAUUUUUUAGGUAGAUUUUGAAAAAAAAAUACUACCUAUUGUAGCUGUUACCAUGGUGCGACUUCCAGAAAAUCUUUACAUAGUUUUUCAUUUCAUGAUCUAGACCCUAAUACCAUUGCCAACUCUAAAGUGUACAAUUGUGUGUGUAAACGAUAGCUGCCGCAAUUUUUCACAAAACUCUUCCAAACAGAUACAUAAAAUAUAAUUGUGGAAAAUCUCGGUCGAGUUUGUUAAUGGGUCAUUUCUGACCAAAGGGGAAGAAAUGGGUAAGGUUUUUUGAAAAACAGAAAUCACUGUAACUCCCAUAAAGUGGAUAUCAUCACAUCAGUCUGAACAUCAUAUACAGUAGAAUCUCGUUAUAGCGAGAACGGUAAUAGCGAGAACACGGCUAUAACGAGGUAUUUUUGAGGAAUUCACGGCGUGAUAGCUUGAAGCGUGCUUUUAUUUGUCUGCUUUAUCUCCACCCCUCUCGCUCGCCACUAGUCAUCUUGCCGUUGACGCGUGUCACAUUCUUCAGCCUUGCAGUCGCCACCUAAGUGCGCGGCUUUAAAAAUAGAAUCCCAUCCUUUCUUUUAUCAAACUUCCGUUAGUUAUCUGUGCCGUGUGUAGACAAAGUUUGAGAUUGGAACAGAAACAACGUAAGAAAGUAUUUUUUACAAAUUAGAAAUAUGUAUGUUUUUGUUUUUAUAAUCGCGUAUUUUCACGUUUUUUUGUUGUUAUCUUAAAAGAGAUAAUAUUAAAAAGCCGCUCUAAUGAGAUUUAAUUGUUUAUAUUCUAUUUAUUAUUACUUACGUGACGUCAUAUUGUACGCGUACGCAAUACGACUGGAUUCGUUGCUGCAACAUAACAUAGCAUGUUAUGCGGUAUCCGAAGUAAUGAGUAACGUAACGAUAGUAACGAGUACUAAUUGUAAUAGUAACGAAUACAUACGGGUACACAUUUUUUCGUUACUUUUACACCUCUAGUAGGCACUACCGUAUUUAUUUCCGAAUCGCUAGGACAGUUUUCUUGUAACUUUUGUUUCUGUCAGUUGUUGGGGUAUCUUUCCGGGAAAGGGGUGGUGAUGGUUUGAGUUUAAUCCCAAAUUUAUUUUCUAAAAAAGUUGACAGGUUCCUUUAAAUGAAAAAAGUAUAGUUUUUCAGCGACUAUUUCGUUUGAGGCGUACGUGCGUUGCCGCAGCCGCACUCCUGCUUUUUUGUAAGGAAUUAAAUCGUCGCGCUACACUAGCACCACCUGUUAGCAACAUCCCGAACCAACAUGGCCGGCAGCAGACAGCCCGCAUCGACAAUAGAUAGCAGGACAAUGCUGCGUCGGCCGCGGGCUGAGAUGCUAUACUUAAGUGGCGUGGUAGGGUAUUCUGGUUAUUUUGACGCAAUCGGUGAUCGCAUCCGUACUUAUGGGGUAUCGUUUUAAAGAAAAUUCACACAUCUGCUCACAGAAAUUAAGAUUUCGUUAAUAUAACCUGUUAUUUUCCAAUUAUACAGGUUUAAACACAAUUUUUAUGCUAUUUUCGGUUAAUUUUUAUUUUUUGGGGGCCAAAAUUUGUCCAAUUCUUUUAUAGCGAGGACACGGUUAUAGCAAGGAUAAAACCCAGAACCGUGACACCUCGCUAUAACGGGACUCUAGUGUAACUCGUAGGUGUAAUACCAAAAAUUUGCGUCUAAAAACAUUUUUGAAAUGACCAACAAUAACUGCAAGUGGUGGAAAAAACAAGGGUUGGAGGACAAAAAAUUCAUAACUCUGUUCGUAGGCACACCAUCGAAAUCGUUCAAAGUGUUUGUAAAUCUUAUAAUUUUUAUCUAAAACUUUUGUCUGUAACAAUUUUUGAUAAAACAAACCAUUAUUGCAAGGAGUUGAAAGAACCUGGGGUUUGAAUAAGAAAAUACAUAAAACUUCCCAACCUUAUUUGGCAUAUAAUAUGA